rnacentral:rRNA from 1 species
ACGCUCGACACCUACGGGAGGCAGCAGUGAGGAAUAUUGGUCAAUGGGCGCUAGCCUGAACCAGCCAAGUAGCGUGAAGGAUGAAGGCUCUAUGGGUCGUAAACUUCUUUUAUAUAAGAAUAAAGUGCAGUAUGUAUACUGUUUUGUAUGUAUUAUAUGAAUAAGGAUCGGCUAACUCCGUGCCAGCAGACGCGGUAAUCUGAGCGGGCUGGCAAGGC